rnacentral:ncRNA from 1 species
UCCGCGAUUGAUUCUGUCGGUGAUCAUAUAAUUAUUUCAAAGGCUAAGUCAAGUAAAGUUCUUAGUGUUUUAAAUGGUGAAAGUACGAACGGUUCAAUAUAGUUGUUAUAUAUUUGAUUUUAUAUAUUUGUUGAUUUUAUCUAAAUGGUGAACUAUGGUGUUUCUGGAGUGAAUAUAUGCACCAAGGCUCUUUUUAUUGAUAAGCGCGUCUUUUAGACUAAUACCAGUCGAGUUUUAUACGGUUCAUUAGUUGGAAUAGCUUUGCUGAUAGUGGUCUAGUAUCGGCGACAUAUCUAUCAGGUAUUUGUCUUAUCAACUUUAGAUGGUAGUUUAUGUGCCUACCAUGGUUGUAAUGGGUAAUGGAAAAUAAGGAUUCGAAUUCGAAUAAGGAGAGAAGGGGGAAGGAAAGAGGGAACUACUAUUCCCAAGAAAGCAGCAGGCACGCGAAUUAUCCACUUUUAGCAAGAGAAGGUGGUGACAAAAAAGAAACCGUUCUCAUUGAAGUCAGCUAUCGGAAUGGGUACAAUUUAAACCUAUUAACAAGGAUCUAUGAGAGAGCGAGCCUGGUGCCAGCAGUGGCAGUGACUCCAGUUCUCAAAAUAUAUGUCGUUAUUGCUGCGGCUCAUAGGAAUUCAAUCUGAUGACAUGUUCCAUUCAUUGGAUGUGAACUAUGAUUGUAGGCUCAUCUAAGUUUUUCUUGUUUUCCUUGGUCAGUCGCGUAAGUUGGCUAGUGAGUUUAUCUUAAAAAAAUUAGAGUGCUUAAUGCAGUGUUUAGAGUAUUUAGAAGCCGAAUAACGGAAUAAAUAAAUAUAUAGAGGAUCCGAGAUUGAGGAUGAGCAUAAGAGGAUAAGAAAAAAAUUUUUUUUUAUAUAUAAGGUGAUAAUAAUCGAAUUUAUUUAGGUGUUAUCAGUC